UUAGUACUCCCUCCGUCCCAAAAUUCUUAUCUUAAAUUUGUCUAAAUACAGAUGUAUCAAGUCACGUUUUAGUAUUAGAUACAUCCGUAUUUAGACAAAUCUAAGACAAGAAUUUUAGUACGGAGGGAGUACUAG
rnacentral:pre_miRNA from 1 species